CACUUUCAACAACGGAUCUCUUGGCUCUCGCAUCGAUGAAGAACGUAGCGAAGUGCGAUAAGUAAUGUGAAUUGCAAAAUUCCGUGAAUCAUCGAAUCUUUGAACGCAAAUUGCACUCUCUGGCAACCCGGGGAGUAUGCCUGUUUGAGGGUCAGU
rnacentral:rRNA from 1 species